rnacentral:rRNA from 1 species
GACGAACGCUGGCGGCGUGCCUAAUACAUGCAAGUCGAGCGGACUUUCAAGAAGCUUGCUUUUUGAAAGUUAGCGGCGGACGGGUGAGUAACACGUGGGCAACCUGCCUGUAAGACGGGGAUAACUCCGGGAAACCGGGGCUAAUACCGGAUAAUAUCUUUCUUCGCAUGAAGGAAGGUUGAAAGGCGGCGCAAGCUGCCGCUUGCAGAUGGGCCCGCGGCGCAUUAGCUAGUUGGUGAGGUAACGGCUCACCAAGGCGACGAUGCGUAGCCGACCUGAGAGGGUGAUCGGCCACACUGGGACUGAGACACGGCCCAGACUCCGACGGGAGGCAGCAGUAGGGAAUCUUCCGCAAUGGACGAAAGUCUGACGGAGCAACGCCGCGUGAGCGAAGAAGGUCUUCGGAUCGUAAAGCUCUGUUGUCAGGGAAGAACAAGUACCGUUCGAAUAGGGCGGUACCUUGACGGUACCUGACCAGAAAGCCACGGCUAACUACGUGCCAGCAGCCGCGGUAA